GAUGAACGCUGGCGGUAUGCUUAACACAUGCAAGUCGAACGGUCUCUUAGGAGAUAGUGGCGGACGGGUGAGUAACGCGUGAGAAUCUGGCUCUAGGUCUGGGACAACCACUGGAAACGGUGGCUAAUACCGGGUGUGCCGAAAGGUGAAAGGUUAACUGCCUGGAGAUGAGCUCGCGUCUGAUUAGCUAGUUGGUAGGGUAAGAGCUUACCAAGGCGACGAUCAGUAGCUGGUCUGAGAGGACGAUCAGCCACACUGGGACUGAGACAC
rnacentral:rRNA from 7 species